ACAGAACACUGCCAAAGGGAUUCCGUUGACUGCUAGGUCCUCAUUCUCUCUUUCCCUCUCUUGCCAGCCUCCCAUUCUAUGAUGCUUUCAGCACUUGGGGCUCUGGGGAAGGACCAUCUACCAGCGAGAAGGAUAUUUUCCAAGGCUCAGGAAUUUCUACAAGAACUGAACCAUACUGAACUUCAAGGAUUGAAGAGGAGUGAAGACCCCAAAAGUGAAAGCAAAGUCAAGGUGCAGAAAGGCACUGGUCAGAGUGAAGAAUUCCCAAAAAGCAACAUUAUAGACUUCCCAGAGGGAAAAUGGCAGCAUCAUUUAGGAUAUAUCCCUGCUACCUCUGCCUUUGACUUUCAGAUGGAACUUGACAGAGCUAUUGCAGUCCUGGUGAAUGCCCUUUCCCUCUCAUCCUGGACAGCUGAUGAGGCCAGCUCAUCAGAUCCUAUAGCACAGGUUGGUCCAUUUAUGUGUUCCGACUUGUCCUUGACUUGACCACUCAAAUUAUGCAUACAUACACACACACACAUGCUCUCUCUCUCUCUCUCUCUCUCUCUCUCUCUCUCUCUCUCUCUCUCUCUUUCUCUUCC
rnacentral:lncRNA from 1 species